rnacentral:rRNA from 1 species
GACGAACGCUGGCGGCAUGCCUAACACAUGCAAGUCGAACGGGGUAUGAUAGCAGAAGGCUACGGCUGGAAGCUAGAAAUACCAAGUGGCGGACGGGUGAGUAACGCGUGGGUAACGUACCUUCCAGAGGGGAAUAACCGUGAGAAAUCACAGCUAAUACCGCAUAAGGUUCAACCAUCGCAUGAUGGAAGAAAGAAAGGUGGCAGAGCAGAGCAGCUGCCGCUGGGAGAGCGACCCGCGUCUGAUUAGCUAGUUGGUGAGAUAAAAGCCCACCAAGGCAACGAUCAGUAGCCGGCCUGAGAGGGUGAACGGCCACAUUGGGACUGAGACACGGCCCAA